rnacentral:rRNA from 1 species
UACGUAGGGUGCAGGCGUUAAUCGGAAUUACUGGGCGUAAAGCGUGCGCAGGCGGUUUGCUAAGACAGGUGUGAAAUCCCCGGGCUUAACCUGGGAACUGCGCUUGUUACUGGCAGGCUUGAGUGUGGCAGAGGGGGGUGGAAUUCCACGUGUAGCAGUGAAAUGCGUAGAUAUCAGGAGGAACACCGGUGGCGAAGGCGCUCAUCCGGCCCAAUACUGACGCUGAGGCGCGAAAGCUAGGGGAGCAAACGGG